GUUAAGCGACUAAGCGUACACGGUGGAUGCCCUGGCAGUCAGAGGCGAUGAAGGACGUGCUAAUCUGCGAUAAGCGUCGGUAAGGUGAUAUGAACCGUUAUAACCGGCGAUUUCCGAAUGGGGAAACCCAGUGUGAUUCGUCACACUAUCAUUAACUGAAUCCAUAGGUUAAUGAGGCGAACCGGGGGAACUGAAACAUCUAAGUACCCCGAGGAAAAGAAAUCAACCGAGAUUCCCCCAGUAGCGGCGAGCGAACGGGGAGGAGCCCAGAGCCUGAAUCAGUGUGUGUGUUAGUGGAAGCGUCUGGAAAGGCGCGCGAUACAGGGUGACAGCCCCGUACACAAAAAUGCACAUACUGUGAGCUCGAUGAGUAGGGCGGGACACGUGGUAUCCUGUCUGAAUAUGGGGGGACCAUCCUCCAAGGCUAAAUACUCCUGACUGACCGAUAGUGAACCAGUACCGUGAGGGAAAGGCGAAAAGAACCCCGGCGAGGGGAGUGAAAAAGA
rnacentral:rRNA from 1 species